rnacentral:miRNA from 1 species
UCCACUGUUGGGUGCCUGGGAUCUG